rnacentral:snRNA from 1 species
CUGCUCACUUUGGCGCACGGAUACUCAAAUGGGAAGGGUACAGAGAAGAUUUACACGGGCCCAGCGCCAGGCAACAUGCAAGUUCGUGAGGUUCCAUAUUUUU